ACGCUCGACACCUACGGGAGACAGCAGUGGGGAAUAUUGCACAAUGGGGGAAACCCUGAUGCAGCGAUGCCGCGUGAAGGAAGAAGUAUCUCGGUAUGUAAACUUCUAUCAGCAGGGAAGAAAAUGACGGUACCUGACUAAGAAGCCCCGGCUAACUACGUGCUAGCAGCCGCGGUAAUCUGAGCGGGCUGGCAAGGC
rnacentral:rRNA from 1 species